rnacentral:rRNA from 1 species
GAUGAACGCUAGCGGCAGGCUUAACACAUGCAAGUCGAGGGGUAGGUUACUUCGGUAAUUGAGACCGGCGCACGGGUGCGUAACGCGUAUACAAUCUACCUUUUACAGAGGGAUAGCCCAGAGAAAUUUGGAUUAAUACCUCAUAGUAUUUUUGAAUCGCAUGAUUUGAUUAUUAAAGUUCCAACGGUAAAAGAUGAGUAUGCGUCCCAUUAGCUAGAUGGUAAGGUAACGGCUUACCAUGGCUACGAUGGGUAGGGGUCCUGAGAGGGAGAUCCCCCCACACUGGUACUGAGACACGGACCAGACUCCUACGGGAGGCAGCAGUGAGGAAUAUUGGACCAAUGGGCGCAAGCCUGAUCCAGCCAUGCCGCGUGCAGGAUGAAGGCCUUCGGUGUAAACUAGCUUUUGUUACGGAAC